AGUCGAGCGGACAGAAGGGAGCUUGCUCCCGGAUGUUAGCGGCGGACGGGUGAGUAACACGUGGGUAACCUGCCUGUAAGACUGGGAUAACUCCGGGAAACCGGAGCUAAUACCGGAUAGUUCCUUGAACCGCAUGGUUCAAGGAUGAAAGACGGUUUCGGCUGUCACUUACAGAUGGACCCGCGGCGCAUUAGCUAGUUGGUGAGGUAACGGCUCACCAAGGCGACGAUGCGUAGCCGACCUGAGAGGGUGAUCGGCCACACUGGGACUGAGACACGGCCCAGACUCCUACGGGAGGCAGCAGUAGGGAAUCUUCCGCAAUGGACGAAAGUCUGACGGAGCAACGCCGCGUGAGUGAUGAAGGUUUUCGGAUCGUAAAGCUCUGUUGUUAGGGAAGAACAAGUGCAAGAGUAACUGCUUGCACCUUGACGGUACCUAACCAGAAAGCCACGGCUAACUACGUGCCAGCAGCCGCGGUAAUACGUAGGUGGCAAGCGUUGUCCGGAAUUAUUGGGCGUAAAGGGCUCGCAGGCGGUUUCUUAAGUCUGAUGUGAAAGCCCCCGGCUCAACCGGGGAGGGUCAUUGGAAACUGGGAAACUUGAGUGCAGAAGAAGAGAGUGGAAUUCCACGUGUAGCGGUGAAAUGCGUAGAGAUGUGGAGGAACACCAGUGGCGAAGGCGACUCUCUGGUCUGUAACUGACGCUGAGGAGCGAAAGCGUGGGGAGCGAACAGGAUUAGAUACCCUGGUAGUCCACGCCGUAAACGAUGAGUGCUAAGUGUUAGGGGGUUUCCGCCCCUUAGUGCUGCAGCUAACGCAUUAAGCACUCCGCCUGGGGAGACGGUCGCAAGACUGAAACUCAAAGGA
rnacentral:rRNA from 1 species